rnacentral:rRNA from 1 species
GAUGAACGCUAGCGACGGGCUUAACACAUGCAAGUCGAGGGGAAACGACAACGAUAGCUUGCUUUUGAUGGGCGUCGAGCGGCGCACGGGUGAGGAAAGCGUAUCCUACCUGCCCACCACGUGGGGAUAACCGUGCGAAAGUAAGACUAAUACCCAACGAUAUCCCACGAAGACAUCUGAAUGGGAUUAAAGUUGUAUCGGUGAUGGGUGGGGAUGCGUCUGAUUGGCUUGUUGGCGGGGUAACGGCACACCAAGGCAACGAUCAGUAGGGGUUCUGAGAGUAACGGCCCUCACAGUGGGACCGGGCCACCGGCCAAACUCCUACGGGAGGCAGCAGUGCGGAAUACUGGUGAAGGGACGAGAGCCUGAUCCAGCCAAGUAGCGUGCAGGAAGGCGGCCCUAUGGGUUGUAGCCUUCUUGUAUAAGGCCUUAAAGUGGGUGGCGUGUGACUUUUUGCAUGUACCUUAUGAAUAAGGACCGGCUAAUUACGUG